UACGUAGGGUGCAAGCGUUGUCCGGAAUUAUUGGGCGUAAAGAGCUCGUAGGCGGUCUGUCGCGUCGUCCGUGAAAACUUGGGGCUCAACCCCAAGCUUGCGGUCGAUACGGGCAGGCUCGAGUUCGGUAGGGGAGACUGGAAUUCCUGGUGUAGCGGUGAAAUGCGCAGAUAUCAGGAGGAACACCGGUGGCGAAGGCGGGUCUCUGGGCCGAUACUGACGCUGAGGAGCGAAAGCGUGGGGAGCGAACAGG
rnacentral:rRNA from 1 species